rnacentral:misc_RNA from 1 species
AACACCUCAAAACUCUUGGUUUUUUCCAUGAGUUUUGGACUUGAGCAAACCCAACGCCUUCUCUCACGAUUUGGCGGCGGGUUGCUUGAAAUGCAGGUGCAGCUGCACAUUCUCCUGAGCUAAAAGCAUAUUUAUUUAGUCCCGUCAAACGGAUUAUUACUUUUGCUGCAGCUAACAUAAAGGGAGUUUUGACCGUAUUGGCUGACUGAUGCAGGAUUUCACAGAGUCGGAAACGAUUCUGUCAA